AAUCUAUAGCUUUACGGAGUUUUCGGUAGCAAUAUUUUUUACUGAGUUAACUCUGCUGUUCAAAAACCCAGUAAAUUUUACUGACUUCGGUAAUCAAAUCUAAGUGUGUAACUAGUUUGUUCAAUAGUGGUUAUCACGCCCAAUAGUAUGGGUGCCCUAGUGUAGAUGUAGUUGUGAACCUUACACGCUAACAUAAAAGUACCCAUUAAAUGGGUUUCUAGUACCCAUUUUUAUGGUCAGUAUGGAGUUGUCAGAAAAAGAGUACUUUUCAGUGACAUAAAAAAGGGUACUUUAACCUCAUUAUGAAGUAUUCUUCCAGCUAAUAUAAAUGGUUGUUUUUCAGCUCGGUGUUAAUGAAAAAAAGUCAGGGUUUAUUUCAUUGUUCGACAAAUAAAUAAUUAUGGAGGAGCAGAUUGCACGCACUCUUUGCGACACAUUUUUGGAUGACUGCAGCUGAGUUCAAUGCCAACUGCAGCGAUUUCCUAAGUACCUGGGUCGUCUACUAAAUGAUCAUAUACAUGUUGAAUUAUUGUUUUGUUAAAUUAUGAAAUAAAUGUAUGAUGUAUUUUAUUAAUUC